GAAGGACGUAGUUAGCUUAUUAAUUACUUGGCCUGCGCGCCACGUAGGCUUGAUAGUUUUUAAGGUCAACACAAAGUUUCAAAAUUUUCAACAAAGCUAAUUUCCAGUUUUAUGUACGAAGAUAGUUGAAGCUGUAUUCUCGUUGGAACCACGCAACUAUGGGAAAACGAAGUUUUCAAGGCUUUCUUGAUUUUUCCCCAUGACAUGCCAUAUAUGCUUGGAAAGCUAAAAAUCGAGCUACAAUAUUCUUAUUUUUUCAGAAUUUUCCAAAAGAAAAAAAAAAGGUCUAAAAAAUGGCAGGCAAAGCAGCUGAACAAUAACUUAACUCAGGCAACAUAUCACAACAACACUAUUGACUUUCCAGAUUAAACUGUACCUGCUCGGAGCAAACUGGAUUUCGAGCCAUAUAUUUUUGCAAAGGUAUGGAAGUCAUUUUCUAGAAAACUUUGCAUAACUCAAUUCUGAGUUACCUGUGGAAGACAUUAUUGUUGUUUUACCAUCAUAACACAGACUGAUUUCUCUAUAGAAUCCCUUAAGUUUUUCCUCUGAACUUUGAACAACACGCAACAGCAUGCAACAACCUUGAGUUCAGAAUACACACAGUCAUGAACAAGUUAACUGUUAACAUAAAGGUUCCAACCAAUUCAAGUCCGCCCCAACGAGCUACAAACUAAAGAAUAGUGCAAAGAUAACUCCACAUUUGUCCUCUUCUACUGCUAGCUUGUAAUGGAAAAUGACAAGUAUAUUGUAUUGAGUAAGAAGAAAAGUUUCAUGAAUCCGAACAACUCCUACACCACAUGGAAGUUAUGAAGUCAGAUUCCUACACUUGUAGAUGUCUGAACAGCGAAUUACUUACCUCAAUUUGAAACCAAUCGGAGCAAGGUAGAUUAAAGUGAGAAGAACUUUCGUAGUUCAGUUAUGGACUCACCAGUUCUGGGCGGACUCUAUCAGACGGAGCAGUGAUGCCACCAUCACCCUA
rnacentral:lncRNA from 1 species